UACAGAGGUCCCAAGCGUUGUUCGGAUUCACUGGGCGUAAAGGGUGCGUAGGUGGUGGGGUAAGUCGGAUGUGAAAUCUCCGGGCUCAACCCGGAAAUGGCAUUGGAAACUACCUUGCUGGAGGAUUUGAGGGGGGAUUGGAAUACUUGGUGUAGCAGUGAAAUGCGUAGAUAUCAAGUGGAACACCAGUGGCGAAGGCGGCUCACUGGGUCUUUUCUGACGCUGAGGGACGAAAGCUAGGGGAGCGAACGGG
rnacentral:rRNA from 1 species